GUUCUAGAUCUCUUAUUCUCCUUCUCCUUGGUCUUAGCCUCUUCUAUCUGCUGAGCAUGGAUCAUGAGCUUGGAUAUAUCCAUCUCCUUAAUCAGUAUUGUGGUCCUACACUCCUUGACUAUGCUGCUAGACAUACUCAACAUAAACUUACUUAUCUUAGAUUUGUUAUCUGUUACCAUAUGAGGGGCAUAUCUAGCUAACUGAGUAAACUUGAGAGACUACUCUUUCACUGUCAUGUUG
rnacentral:lncRNA from 1 species